rnacentral:rRNA from 1 species
GAGAGUUUGAUUCUGGCUCAGAGUGAACGCUGGCGGCGUGCCUAAUACAUGCAAGUCGAACGGAGAUUAAGUAGCUUGCUAUUUAAUCUUAGUGGCGCACGGGUGAGUAAUAUAUAGCUAAUCUGCCCUACACUAGAGGACAACAGUUGGAAACGACUGCUAAUACUCUAUACUCCUUCUAAGCAUAAGCUUAGUCGGGAAAGUUUUUCGGUGUAGGAUGAGGCUAUAUCGUAUCAGCUAGUUGGUGAGGUAAUGGCUCACCAAGGCUAUGACGCGUAACUGGUCUGAGAGGAUGAUCAGUCACACUGGAACUGAGACACGGUCCAGACUCCUACGGGAGGCAGCAGUAGGGAAUAUUGCUCAAUGGGGAAACCCUGAAGCAGCAACGCCGCGUGGAGGAUGACACUUUUCGGAGCGUAAACUCCUUUUCUUGGGAAAGAAUUAUGACGGUACCCAAGGAAUAAGCACCGGCUAACUCCGUGCCAGCAGCCGCGGUAAUACGGAGGGUGCAAGCGUUACUCGGAAUCACUGGGCGUAAAGGACGCGUAGGCGGAUUAUCAAGUCUCUUGUGAAAUCUAACGGCUUAACCGUUAAACUGCUUGGGAAACUGAUAAUCUAGAGUAAGGGAGAGGCAGAUGGAAUUCUUGGUGUAGGGGUAAAAUCCGUAGAGAUCAAGAAGAAUACCCAUUGCGAAAGCGAUCUGCUGGAACUUAACUGACGCUAAUGCGUGAAAGCGUGGGGGAGCAAACAGGAUUAGAUACCCUGGUAGUCCACGCCCUAAACGAUGUAUGCUAGUUGUUGCUUCGCUAGUCGAGGCAGUAAUGCACCUAACGGAUUAAGUAUACCGCCUGGGGAGUACGGUCGCAAGAUUAAAACUCAAAGGAAUAGACGGGGACCCGCACAAGCGGUGGAGCAUGUGGUUUAAUUCGAAGAUACGCGAAGAACCUUACCCGGACUUGAUAUCUAACAAAUCAUCCAGAGAUGGAAGAGUGUCUGCUUGCAGAAAUGUUAAGACAGGUGCUGCACGGCUGUCGUCAGCUCGUGUCGUGAGAUGUUGGGUUAAGUCCCGCAACGAGCGCAACCCACGUAUUUAGUUGCUAACGGUUCGGCCGAGCACUCUAAAUAGACUGCCUUCGUAAGGAGGAGGAAGGUGUGGACGACGUCAAGUCAUCAUGGCCCUUAUGUCCGGGGCGACACACGUGCUACAAUGGCGUAUACAAUAAGACGCAAUAUCGCGAGAUGGAGCAAAUCUAUAAAAUACGUCCCAGUUCGGAUUGGAGUCUGCAACUCGACUCCAUGAAGCCGGAAUCGCUAGUAAUCGUAGAUCAGCCAUGCUACGGUGAAUACGUUCCCGGGUCUUGUACUCACCGCCCGUCACACCAUGGGAGUUGAUUUCACUCGAAGCCCAAAUACCAAACCGGUUAUGGUCCACAGUGGAAUCAGCGACUGGGGUGAAGUCGUAACAAGGUAACCGUAGGAGAACCUGCGGUUGGAACACCUCCUU